AUUGCCUCUAGCUGUAUUAUAGGUAUGGCUCCUGUGUGACAGUGUGUCAGUAAGUGGCAGAGAGGAGGCAGACUGUGUCUGUACACUCAGUAUUCUGACCUAGUAACAUCUGAAUGAUUAGUAGCCCAACACU